rnacentral:lncRNA from 1 species
UGCAAAUCAUCUGUAGCAACAAUUAUUCAUAAUUUGCACUCCAGAAUAAACCCAGCUGUAUUUAGCAUAUAGUGGUGUAGUGGUUAAGAGCGGUAGAUUUGUAAUCUGGGGAACCGGGUGCUCGUCUCUGUUCCUCCACAUGCAGCUGCUGGGUGACCUUGGGCCAGUCACACUUCUGUGAAGUCUCUCAGCCCGACUCACCUCACAGAGUGUUUGUUGUGGGGGAGGAAGGGGAAGGAGAAUGUUGGCCGCUUUGAGACUCCUUCGGGUAGUGAUAAAGCGGGAUAUCAAAUCCAAACUCUUCUUCUUCUUCUCCUCUUCACCAAGAUGACACAUUCCCUUCGUCUCCCUCCCUAGCCCAGCUUUCAAAUCUUAACCAACUCAGACAGUGCAAUAUGACUCUUAUAAUGAUCGUCUAAUAAUCCAAAUUAGUAUUUCUCCAGCUUCUAGGUCCAGUUUCUAUAAAGCCUUUGAAAAACUGUUCCAACAAAUCUCAGCCAAGUCACAAUCCAAGAUUAUGGUCGCUUAUAAUGUUCAUCCAAUCCUGCUUCCUCUUCUUUCUUCUUUUCCUAAUCUUUGGACAUUUUAAUCCACUGAGGAUGGGGAAGCAGGCAUGCUAAUUCCCAUUCCUCAAACGAGAUCAUAGCUUGUGUUGUUCACUGUUUCCGGAGUUCAUGAGAUCCGCAGAGACGUGGGAACCCACCCUGACCCGUUGGGAACGGUUUGAUAGAAAAUUUAAUAUCCACCUGCACAAACAUGGUGGAAGUCCCAGGUCUAAUAGUUUGGGCACCAAUCUAUGCGGAAGAAUAGUAUUAAAUGCAGAACUAAAGUCUACAAAUAACAAUCUCGCAUAGUUCCCUUUCUUCUCCAAAUGAGUCAGGACAGCAUGUAAUGCCAUUUCCACAGCAUCCUCCGUGCAUCUCUUUGCUUUUUCAAAACAUUUCAUUAUAAUGGGUGUCAAUGCCACAGGGCAAAAAUCAUUCAGACUAUCUUUGGGUUUUUUGGCAGGGGUAUAGAAUCAUAGAAUCAUAGAGUUGGAAGAGACCACAAGGGCCAUCGAGUCCAACCCCCUGCCAAGCAGGAAACACCAUCAGAGCACUCCUGACAUAUGGUUGUCAAGCCUCUGCUUAAAGACCUCCAAAGAAGGAGACUCCACCACACUCCUUGGCAGCAAAUUCCACUGUUGGAACAGCUCUCACUGUCAGGAAGUUCUUCCUAAUGUUUAGGUGGAAUCUUCUUUCUUGUAGUUUGGAUCCAUUGCUCCGUGUCCGCUUCUCUGGAGCAGCAGAAAACAACCUUUUCCCCUCCUCUAUGUGACAUCCUUUGAUAUAUUUGAACAUGGCUAUCAUGUUCAAAUAUAUAACCUCCUCUUCUCCAGGCUAAACAUGCCCAGCUCUCUUAGCCGUUCCUCAUAAGACAUCGUUUCCAGGCCUUUGACCAUUUUGGUUGCCCUCCUCUGGACACGUUCCAGUUUGUCAGUGUCCUUCUUGAACUGUGGUGCCCAGAAUGAUGGGAGCGGAUUUCAGACAGGGUGGAACGGCUGCUUGGGCCAGAGACUGGUUAAAAAUCUUCAUAAAGAUGCCUGCCAGUUGGUCCGAACAAUCUCUUAGCACCCUGCCAGCCACCCCAUCCGGGCCCAAAGCCUUCCUCGUGUUUACCUCCUUUAAUAUUUGCCUCACUUCUCCCUCUUCCACCCUGACAGCUUUUCCUGCAGGUAGUGAGGCCAAUAGCUCUGACAUCCCUGUUGGAGCCACUGUUGGUGUCACCUCAAAUUGGGCAAAGAAGGUCUUCAACUCUCCCACCAAGGAAGCUGUACUCUCUACCACUGAUGUAUUUCUCGAUUUAUAACCAGUCAGAUGUUGAACUCCCUGCCACAUUUGUCUAGUAUCAUUUCUUAGAUGGUCCUCGAUUUUUCCUCUGUACUCCGCUUUUGCUUUCCUGAUACCCCUCUUCAAGUUCGCUCUUUCUAUACCAUACGGUACCCGGUCCCCAGUUCUAAAAGCAGAGUUUCUGGCCUUCAAGAAUCUCCUAACCUCUCCCAUCAUCCAGGGCUUCCUAUUCGGAUACAACUUAACAUACCUUUCCCUGGUGCGUUUCCUGUGCCAAAUCUAACACCGUUGAUGCAGAAGUUUCUAGAUCUUGAUGGUCGAACAUAUUCCAAUCGGUCUCCUGGAAACAGUCCUGCAACUGCUGAGAGGCUCCCUCAGGCCACACCGUAACCAUCCGUGUUUGUAGCUGGCCUUGUUUCCUGAGGGGUGUGUGCACUGGUGUCAGAAGCAGGGACACAUGAUCUGAGCCACCGAGGUGCGCCUCAUAUGCCUGUCUAAUGUUCGUAUACACCUUGUCAAAAGUAGUUUCUCCCCUUAUUGCACACUCAAUGUGCUGAUGGGAUUUAGGGAGUACUGCCCUCACAUCUGUGUGAGUGAAGUCCCCCACAAUAAUCCGCACUGCCUCCGGGUAUCUGCUCAAUUUAGCAUUGAUGUUUUCAUGCAUACUACUCAUGGUCCUGCAGGCAUUUGCUGUAGGUGCUACGUAAGAAAGCUGCAGAGAUAGUGCAGGAUAGUGCGCACCCCGGAAAUGAUCUCUUUCAGCUUCUGCCUUCUGGAAGAAGGUACAGGGUUAUAAAGACUAGGACUAGCCGCCUGAGAAACAGUUUCUAUCCAAAUGUGAUUUUGGUUUUAAAUGCAGUGUAAGGUAGUCUCUAUGGGAGUAUAUUGUAUUUAAUUAUGGGGUAUCAGAGUUUUUAGGGGGGGCUAACCAGGUUGGGAUAGCAGGCUUGUUGGUUUUUGAAUGUCUGAUGUACAUUUUUUCAAUUUCGUUCUGUAUGGGACAGUGACAAUAAAGAUUAUCGUAUUGUAUUGAGACUCAUCUGGAAAGUGCUAUAUCAUGUUCCUUUCCCCACUUGCCAGGAGCCUGAGCUCCAUUUGGGAUCCCUCCUUCCGCACCCCAAGGUUCCUCCAAAGCCUUGGGGAAGGAAACUGAGGCAGGCUCAACUUGCUCCCCAGGGUCCUGCAGGGGAUUCGGGGG